rnacentral:lncRNA from 1 species
AUGCCCUCUUCUGGCGUCUGAAGACAGCUACAGUGUACUCAUAUAUAGAAUACAUCUUUUUAAGAAAAGGAUGUGGGGGUUGGGGAUUUAGCUCAGUGGUAGAGUGCUUGCCUAGGAAGCGCAAGGCCCUGGGUUCGGUCCCCAGCUCCGAAAAAAAGAACCAAAAAAAAAAAAAAAGAAAAAAAGAAAAGGAUGUGAACCAUUAUGAUGUGAUUGGGCAGAUCCCAAGGAAAGGGGUGUUUGAUUGGCUGAUUGUUCUGGCUUCCUCACUGAUUCCCUCUUUUUUUUUUUUUUUUGGUUUUUUGGUUUUCCCGUCCCUUCCCCCGAACCGUUUAGUUCCUUGAACUGUGUAAGAUGCAGACAUCGGACCACCCUGAGGUGGUUCCGUUCCUCCACAAACUGCAGCAGCGUGCUCAGUCCGCUUUUCUGGCCUCUGCAGAGUUCCGCAACAUCCUCUCCAGGGUUCUGUCUCGGUCUCGGAACCGGCCAGCGAAGCUCUACGUCUACAUUAACGAGCUCUGCACUGUCCUUAAAGCUCAUUCCAUCAAGAAGAAGUUGAACUUAGCUCCCGCAGCCUCAGCGGAAUCAUCGGGUGAUAACCCUCCCACAGAUCCCCCGUCUGACCUUACAAACACCGAAACCACUGCCUCUGAGGCCUCAAGGACUCGAGGCUCCCGGAGGCAGAUCCAGCGCUUGGAGCAGCUGCUGGCACUGUAUGUCG